rnacentral:rRNA from 1 species
GCGGUAAGGCCCCUUCGGGGGUACACGAGCGGCGAACGGGUGAGUAACACGUGAGCAAUCUGCCCCUGUCUCUGGGAUAACCACUGGAAACGGUGGCUAAUACCGGAUAUGACCUCCCUUCGCAUGUUGGGUGGUGGAAAAGUCCGCUGGACAGGGAUGAGCUCGCGGCCUAUCAGCUUGUUGGUGGGGUAAUGGCCUACCAAGGCGACGACGGGUAGCCGGCCUGAGAGGGUGACCGGCCACACUGGGACUGAGACACGGCCCAGACUCCUACGGGAGGCAGCAGUGGGGAAUAUUGGACAAUGGGCGAAAGCCUGAUCCAGCAACGCCGCGUGAGGGAUGACGGCCUUCGGGUUGUAAACCUCUUUCAGCAGGGACGAAGCGAAAGUGACGGUACCUGCAGAAGAAGGACCGGCCAACUACGUGCCAGCAGCCGCGGUAAUACGUAGGGUCCGAGCGUUGUCCGGAAUUAUUGGGCGUAAAGGGCUCGUAGGCGGUUUGUCACGUCGGGAGUGAAAACUCAGGGCUUAACCCUGAGCGUGCUUCCGAUACGGGCUGACUAGAGGGAUGCAGGGGAGAACGGAAUUCCUGGUGUAGCGGUGGAAUGCGCAGAUAUCAGGAGGAACACCGGUGGCGAAGGCGGUUCUCUGGGCAUUUCCUGACGCUGAGGAGCGAAAGCAUGGGGAGCGAACAGGAUUAGAUACCCUGGUAGUCCAUGCCGUAAACGUUGGGCGCUAGGUGUGGGGACCUUCCACGGUUUCCGUGCCGCAGCUAACGCAUUAAGCGCCCCGCCUGGGGAGUAC